UACGAAGGGGGCUAGCGUUGCUCGGAAUCACUGGGCGUAAAGGGUGCGUAGGCGGGUCUUUAAGUCAGAGGUGAAAUCCUGGAGCUCAACUCCAGAACUGCCUUUGAUACUGAGGAUCUUGAGUUCGGGAGAGGUGAGUGGAACUGCGAGUGUAGAGGUGAAAUUCGUAGAUAUUCGCAAGAACACCAGUGGCGAAGGCGGCUCACUGGCCCGAUUCUGACGCUGAGGCACGAAGGCCAGGGGAGCAAACGGG
rnacentral:rRNA from 1 species